CAUGGCACUGACAAAUCUUCUCAUACGUACCUCGCACAUGGUAUUCAUUUUCUUGGGGUUCGGCAAGCUGUUACCAGGUGACAGCGGCCUCAUUCUUGGCAGGUCCUCAACAUUGUUGAAGGAAGUGCGCCUCGCGCAUGCAGCGAUACCACGAUCUUGAUGAACUGUGAUUAAGUCCAUAGGACCUAUGAUAGUUAUAAUUUCAAUUAAAGCUGCCAAGGUCUACCUCAGUUCCUGCUUUCAGAUAUCAGCAAAAUUUCCUUGCAACUUGUUCCUCAAGAGCCAUCAGCUAGACAUGACGUGUAGACAUGAGGUACAUGCAUGAGGCGACGUCAUUUAAAUAUAUCUCUAUACAUGUAUAUGUAUACGGUGCACAUGUUCUCGUGGGAUCUUUGACCGUAACACUGAUGGGAUGACUACUGGCAAGGCCAUCUAGAUCCAAAGCUGGCUGUAUCUUAUCCAAGAUGAAUUGAUCCAUCAUGCUCCACUCAGGUGCAAGGUGGUUUACGCCUUUGUACUCAAAGUAGCUGGCUGCUCCUUCGUUCAACCAGAGGUCAUUCCACCACUUCAUGGUUACCAGAUUUCCGAACCAUUGAUGGGCAAGUUCGUGGGCUACAACAACAGCCACCCACUCGUGUGCAACUGUGGAGGUUUCAUCAGGAUCAUAAAGAAUUGAUGUUUCUCUAUAAGUGAUGAGGCCCCAGUUCUCCAUGGCACCAGCUGCGAAGUCUGGGAUGGCUAUCAAGUCUGAAAAUGGAAAAUUUUGAUUAGAUUCAUGGCAUAUGAUUAAGGACUGAAGUGAAAUCAACAUCUUUGCAUCAUAUGUACCUUGUUUUGGUAGUGGAUAAUGGACACCAAAGAAGGAUUCAAAAUAGUCCAUUGCUCGAGAAGCUGUGCUAAGUGCAUAUUUCGCCUGCGAAAGCAUAGCUUCUGCAGCAUACACACUAACAGAAAUGUUUCUGCUCGUCAUUUCGGAUAUCCUCUUAAAAUCGCAAACAACAAAAGCCACCAGGUAGGUCGACAUCUCCACAGAUUCUUGAAAAUCGUCCCGGAGCUGUAAAUCAGAUUGGUUCUAUUUCAGGCAUAUGUAGGGAUUCUUCAUAAUUGAUAUUUUGUGAUGGUAAUUAAAAGUUUGAUUUUAGGCGUCUUAUUAUCAGAUUCUAUUAUGAAUUUAUAAAAAUUAUACCGAGUAGAAAUUGUAAAUUACUCUAACUUGUUAGUUCGUUAGUAGUUUUUGUUCUCGCAAUUUUUUUUACUUACAAGUCCCGUUCCCAUGUAAAAUCCAGCAUCUUCAGUAUUCAUUACAGGCAUGUUACAUAGAGCUAUGUGGAACCUGUCUCUGAAUAUAGAGACUUUGAACUUUGCCUUGAACUGCGGCUCGUCGAAGCAAGGAAACGCAGAACGUGCAUAUGUUGGUUCAAAAUGCGUUGUCGCCAAAUACCUAAAAGAGGUUUAUAGUAGUCAGAAUUUUAGGUCAAAACAUGGUUAGUAAUUUUAAAUUAGGUGGCAGUAUCCUCUCUAAAAAAAGUAAUGUUUCCAAAUAUCAUGCUAAUAUCCUACACAUUACUGUGAAAAAUCAGAUUGGCUAUUUAUUGACUAGAAAUUAAUAAUAUUU